AUUGAACGCUGGCGGCAUGCCUUACACAUGCAAGUCGAACGGCAGCACGGGUGCUUGCACCUGGUGGCGAGUGGCGAACGGGUGAGUAAUACAUCGGAACGUACCUUAUCGUGGUGGAUAACGCAGCGAAAGCUGUGCUAAUACCGCAUACGCCCUGAGGGGGAAAGCGGGGGAUCGAAAGACCUCGCGCGAUUAGAGCGGCCGAUGCCUGAUUAGCUUGUUGGUGGGGUAAAAAGCCCACCAAGGCGACGAUCAGUAGCUGGUCUGAGAGGACGAUCAGCCACACUGGGACUGAGACACGGCCCAGACUCCUACGGGAGGCAGCAGUGGGGAAUUUUGGACAAUGGGGGCAACCCUGAUCCAGCAAUGCCGCGUGAGUGAAGAAGGCCUUCGGGUUGUAAAGCUCUUUUGUCAGGGAAGAAACAGCAGCUCUAACACAGUCUGCGAAUGACGGUACCUGAAGAAUAAGCACCGGCUAACUACGUG
rnacentral:rRNA from 1 species